rnacentral:rRNA from 1 species
GACGAACGCUGGCGGCGUGCCUAAUACAUGCAAGUAGAACGCUGAAGGAGGAGCUUGCUCUUCUGGAUGAGUUGCGAACGGGUGAGUAACGCGUAGGUAACCUGCCUGGUAGCGGGGGAUAACUAUUGGAAACGAUAGCUAAUACCGCAUAAGAGUAGAUGUUGCAUGACAUUUACUUAAAAGGUGCAAUUGCAUCACUACCAGAUGGACCUGCGUUGUAUUAGCUAGUUGGUGGGGUAACGGCUUACCAAGGCGACGAAACAUAGCCGACCUGAGAGGGUGAUCGGCCACACUGGGACUGAGACACGGCCCAGACUCCUACGGGAGGCAGCAGUAGGGAAUCUUCGGCAAUGGACGGAAGUCUGACCGAGCAACGCCGCGUGAGUGAAGAAGGUUUUCGGAUCGUAAAGCUCUGUUGUAAGAGAAGAACGAGUGUGAGAGUGGAAAGUUCACACUGUGACGGUAUCUUACCAGAAAGGGACGGCUAACUACGUG